UAUUUUACUUUGGAGUUUUAUUUAAACAACCUCAGUAGUUUGGAUGACAGCUUGAGAAAGCCUUAAGAGUUUGAGACUGAGUUUGAUGAUACUUUCUCGUAUGUUCGUGUACAGAUAACACUGUUCACAGUACUUUCCACCACCAUUUUCCCAUCCACCAGCUUUCUCGUUAUGGUGGUUUCUUUGCCAUCCCAGUCCUGAACUUGAAUCAGGGACUCCUUAUCUAAGGUUACUUUACUCUUUGUUUUGUGGCCACCUGGCGUGAUUUCCUCAAACUCUUCUCCCAGCUUAAAGGAGAUCUCAUUAUUUUUAAAGAUGCUUUUGGUUUUUAUUGUGAUGACAUCUCCAUCUGUACUGAUGGUCACAGUGGGUUUUGCCAAACGGCCCAGUUUCCUGCUGGCUCUUCCUAUACC
rnacentral:lncRNA from 1 species